rnacentral:rRNA from 1 species
UACGAAGGGGGCUAGCGUUGCUCGGAAUCACUGGGCGUAAAGCGCACGUAGGCGGAUUGCUAAGUCGAGGGUGAAAUCCUGGAGCUCAACUCCAGAACUGCCUUUGAUACUGGCGACCUUGAGUCCGGGAGAGGUGAGUGGAACUCCGAGUGUAGAGGUGAAAUUCGUAGAUAUUCGGAAGAACACCAGUGGCGAAGGCGGCUCACUGGUCCGGUACUGACGCUGAGGUGGCGAAAGCGUGGGGAGCAAACAGG